GAAGAGAUCCUGACUCACCCUUCAUCUUCGUUUGCUAUUUAAAUGUGUUUAUGUAACAAAACUUAUAUGGAUGAAAGAUUGAUGUAACAAUAGGUAUGUGACAUGUAAAGAACUAAAGCAAGCAUAAUUUGGUCAACGAGGUUGUCAUAUAUGAAGUCUUACUUCUAAAUCAAAGAAUAACAAAUGGCUUCGAAACCUAAAAAAUCAAUGAUUGAGAAAAAUGGAUCUCGUUUGAAUAAACUCAUAAUCAAUAAAGGAACCCAAGCCUUGAAAACAACAUUGCUAAGGAAUCUAAACCUUCAAUCAACAAACUUGAAAGAUAAACUUAAUGAUCCUUCUACAAAGAGUAAAUUGACACCACUAAAAUUCAAAGUCAUCAGCAAGGAGCAAUGGAACCUUCUUUACCCAUCAACUGGCUCACCUGACAUUGAAAAGUUUGAUAUUUCAUUAUUGUAUGUCUUAUUGCGUAACAUUUGUGGUCUAAAAGCGCCACAUAGUGGAUGGGAUUAUCUUCCUUACUCUUCAGAUACUUCAAUCUCAGCAAACAUUGCAAGAAUAAAGUUUUAUCGAAACCAAGUGUACGGUCACAUAACUACAACUAGUGUAGGUGACAGUGAGUUUGAGCAUUCGUGGCAAGAAAUUUCAAAAGCAUUGGUUUGUCUGGGUAUUCGACAAACUGAAAUAGAUGAAUUAAAAGGUAGAGUUUGCGUCUGCUGAAAUAAAGAUAACUAGGGUCAGUUUCCCAAGGUAAAUAAGAGAAACAGUACGUGUCAGAUAAUUUAGAGUUAAAGCACAAAAAGCCUGAAACGAAAAUUUACCAACUGGGUUAUACUUUUA